rnacentral:rRNA from 1 species
GACAGAAGGUGCAAACGUUGUUCGGAUUUACUGGGCGUAAAGCGCGUGUAGGCGGCUUCGCAAGUUGGAUGUGAAAUCCCACGGCUCAACCGUGGACGUGCAUCCAAAACUGCGUCGCUAGAGUCUCGGAGAGGAAGGUGGAAUGCUUGGUGUAGAGGUGAAAUUCGUAGAUAUCAAGCAGAACACCUGCGGCGAAGGCGGCCUUCUGGACGAUGACUGACGCUGAGACGCGAAAGCGUGGGGAGCAAACAGG